CUCACAUCAUUGAGUCGCCUGAACCUGUCCUACAACAAUCUGGGAGGGAAGAUACCAACUGGAAAUCAGCUGCAAACACUUGAAGACCAGGCAUCUAUUUAUAUUGGCAACCCGGGUCUCUGCGGCCCUCCUCUCUUGCGGAAUUGCCCGCAGCCUGAGCCAAUUCCAGGAGAAAACCAUGGAGAUGCAAGCGAUGACUUGGUUUCCUUUCUCCUCGCCAUGAGCUCUGGAUUUGUAAUGGGUCUCUGGGUGGUCUUCUGUACCUUCUUGUUCAAGAGGAGAUGGAGAGCUGUUUGGUACUCGCUCUGUGACAGCCUGUAUGAUUGGGUUUAUGUGCAUGUGGCUAUUACCUGGACUUCCUUGAGAGGUAAAAUCAAUGGGUAG
rnacentral:rRNA from 1 species